AUUGAACGCUGGCGGAAUGCUUUACACAUGCAAGUCGAACGGCAGCACGGACUACGGUCUGGUGGCGACUGGCGAACGGGUGAGUAAUGGAUCGGAACGUGCCCAGUCGUGGGGGAUACAGUAGUUAAAACUACGCCAAUACCCCAUACGAUCUAAGGAUGAAAGCGGUGGAUCGCAAGACCUCCCUCGACUGGAUCGGCCGGUAGCAGAUUAGGUAGUUGGUGGGGUAAAGGCCCACCAAGCCAACGAUCUGUAGCUGCUCUGAGCGGACGACGAGCCACACUGGAACUGAGACACGGUCCAGACUCCUACGGGUGGCAGCAGUGGGGAAUGUUGGACAAUGGGCGAAAGCCUGAUCCAGCCAUUCCGCGUGCAGGAUGAAGGCCCUCGGGUUGUAAACUGCUUUUGUACAGAACGAAAAGGUUUCUACUAAUACUAGGAGCUCAUGACGGUACUGUAAGAAUAAGCACCGGCUAACUACGUGCCAGCCGCCGCCGUAA
rnacentral:rRNA from 1 species